rnacentral:rRNA from 1 species
UACGUAGGGCGCAAGCGUUAUCCGGAAUUAUUGGGCGUAAAGAGCUCGUAGGCGGUUUGUUGCGUCGGCUGUGAAAUCCCGAGGCUCAACCUCGGGUCUGCAGUCGAUACGAGCAAACUAGAGUGUUGCAGGGGAGACUGGAAUUCCUGGUGUAGCGGUGAAAUGCGCAGAUAUCAGGAGGAACACCGGUGGCGAAGGCGGAUCUCUGGGCCGUAACUGACGCUGGAGGAGCGAAAGCGUGGGGAGCGAACAGG